CUUAGGGAAACCUAAGCUAAUACCGCAUAAUGCAGCGGGCUCCCAUAUGGAGACAGUUGUUAAAGCAUUUAUGUGCCUAAGGAGGAGCUUGCGGCAGAUUAGCUAGUUGGUAAGGUAAUGGCUUACCAAGGCGACGAUCUGUAGCCGGUCUAAGAGGACGGUCGGUCACACUGACACUGAAUAACGGGUCAGACUCCUACGGGAGGCAGCAGUCGGGAAUUUUGGGCAAUGGGCGAAAGCCUGACCCAGCAACGCCGCGUGAAGGAUGAAGUAUUUCGGUAUGUAAACUUCGAAAGUAUGGGAAGAAUAAAUGACGGUACCAUACAUAAGCUCCGGCUAACUACGUG
rnacentral:rRNA from 1 species